UUGGUUCUAGAUCUGAGUAUAUCAAUAUUACCUUGUUCAGAACUUAAAGAGAAAUCUUGAGUUUAUGGACUUCAGGGGGAGUAUGGUCACAAGGCUGAAACUUAAAGGAAUUGACGGAAGGGCACACCAGGAGUGGAGCCUGCGGCUUAAUUUGACUCAACACGGGAAAACUUACCAAGACCGAACAGUAGAAGGAAUGACAGAUUAAGAGUUCUUUCAUGAUUUAUUGGGUAGUGGUGCAUGGCCGUUCUUAGUUGGUGGAGUGAUUUGUCAGGUUAAUUCCGGUAACGAACGAGACUGAAACCUAUUAAUUAGUUUUCUGCCUAUAAGACAGAAAUGUUCGCAAGAACAGGUGCGUAAGUACCACUUCUUAAAGGGACACAUUUCAAUUGUCCUAUUUUAAUUGUAGUUAUCUAAUUUCGGU
rnacentral:rRNA from 1 species